CUUCCAGUAGCACCUUAGAGACCAACUAAAUUUGUUAUUGGUAUGAGCUUUCAUGUGCAUGCACACUUCUUCGAAAGCUCAUACCAAUAACAAACUUAGUUGGUCUCUAAGGUGCUACUGGAAG